AGAGUUUGAUCCUGGCUCAGGAUGAACGCUGGCGGUAUGCUUAACACAUGCAAGUCGAACGAUGAAAUUUCGUGGAACCUUCGGGAGAAGCGAAAUGGAUUAGUGGCGAACGGGUGAGUAACGCGUGGGUAACCUGCCCUAUGGAGAGGGAUAGCCUCGGGAAACCCGGGAGUAAAACCUCAUAGUCAAAGAAAGCGCAUGCUAUUUUUGAGAAAACUCAGGUGCCAUAGGAUGGACCCGCGUCCCAUUAGCUAGUUGGAGAGAUAACAGCUCCCCAAGGCGACGAUGGGUAACCGGUCUGAGAGGGCGAACGGUCACACUGGAACUGAGACACGGUCCAGACUCCUACGGGAGGCAGCAGUGGGGAAUAUUGCGCAAUGGAGGGAACUCUGACGCAGCAAUACCGCGUGAGUGAAGAAGGUUUUCGGAUUGUAAAACUCUGUUAUUGGGGAAGAAAGAAAUGACGGUACCCGAUGAGGAAGUCCCGGCUAACUAUGUGCCAGCAGCCGCGGUAAUACAUAGGGGACAAGCGUUAUCCGGAUUGACUGGGCGUAAAGGGCGCGUAGGUGGCCUUAUAAGUCAGGUGUGAAAGGUAUCGGCUCAACCGAUAAAUUGCACUUGAAACUGUGAGGCUUGAGUAUUGGAGAGGCAGGUGGAAUUCCUAGUGUAGCGGUGAAAUGCGUAGAUAUUAGGAGGAACACCGGUGGCGAAGGCGGCUUGCUGGACAAAUACUGACACUGAGGCGCGAAAGCGUGGGUAGCGAACAGGAUUAGAUACCCUGGUAGUCCACGCCGUAAACGAUGAAUGCUAGGUAUUGGGGGAACUCAGUGCCGACGUUAACACAAUAAGCAUUCCGCCUGGGGAGUACGUGCGCAAGCAUGAAACUCAAAUGAAUUGACGG
rnacentral:rRNA from 1 species